ensembl:lncRNA
GGGGGGGGGGGGGGGGGGGGAAGAUCUGGGAUCUGAGAGCUUAAUAUCAGCAUUGUCUGUUUUUUUCUGUACAACCUCACCCCAGUCAAAAAGUGGUUACCAUGAAUAGAUAGUGCAUGGAGGAGUAUUGUUAGAGCAUCAGCGCUUGUCUCCAGUUAAUUAGUUUCUCAUCCAAGGACUGCUGAGUGUGUUAUCUCAUCCCAGGGAAGAGCCACUCCCACUAGCAAUGUAAUUCACCUGAGCUAGGAACCAAAUGAAUUGCCAGGCUGCAAAAUACUCUUUUUAACAAUGGGAUCCUCAUUCCCCACGAGGAGGUGUGGUUUUCGGGCAGCCACUUUCAGCCUCUUGGAUUACUUCGUUCGGCUGAAGGAGCUUAUGCAAUGCGUGCCUACUGUAUGUUGGUAUAAACCCACCUGAGAUUUGCUAGAAUCAAAGGUUUAGCACUGAAAGUCUGCAAACCUCGCACAGGUAAAUACAGGUAAAGGCUUCCUUUGUGCAUGUGGAAAGAGGAGUGAAAACGUGAUUGUCCCAUACUGCUUCAGGUUCGUAAAGAUAAUUUUCUAGAGCGCUGAACUCCAACACUAGAAAUGGUGGAAGGGAAGGAAAUAGGAUCAUUUCUCUUGGAAAGACUAGAUAGCUGAAUAGAUGUUUGCCUGAAUGUGUUGAAAAUAAGAGAACAAGGGAUGCUGAUCGUCAGAAUGGUUCAGAGUCACGAAAAAGAGAGCUAGCUUUUUCAGUUCAAAGGGAGAUGGAUGGAGUGGGCAACUCCGGAAUACGUGAAGACGGGAGCUUUGUGCAGCCUUACUGCUGGGCUUGCUUUCUGUGCUAGUGGCCCAGGGAAAUGGCAAAACUAGACCAGAAUAGGAAAGGCUCUAAUCCCAAUUCAUCGUUCAUACCCUGCUCGUAUUCAGGCACUGUCAGACAGAGCGGGCUGCUGCGAUUCACAAUCGUGGGAAGGGCUCCCCAGCUGCACGAUCCAAACGUUUUGAAGUGAAACGUGGUACAUUAUAUUAACUUGGUUCAGACAAUCAGCUUUAAACAUCUGAAUCUCGUUUCUCCAUGUUAAUUCCUCUUGCUCAAUCUUUAUUUCAGCUGCGUGGAAUUCUCAGACCUUUCUGACCCUGAUUUAUCGUUUCCUGAUGUUUUAUUGCUAAGUCACUGAGGUUUCAGGGAGGCUGAUGUUUCUGAAAUGCGCACACCUUUGAUUGUACGCAUGGCCAGCAUGUCAGACCGAACCUCUCAUGUGUUCUGUAUAUAUCAUUGUCUCCUCUGCUGCGUCCUCUGCAGUUUUACGAUUCACCGCACUUAUCUGUGCGCCUCAUUGAUACAGUCCUCCUUAAAAUGUGGUUAUUAUUUAAGGCUUUUCAAGCUCAGCCUCUGCAUACUGCAAAACUUGAUCUGAGCUUACGUUCGCUCUUGUCACUCAUAUACAGGUUCCAUCUGUUCCCCUUUUCCUCUCCCUUUGCUGCUUGCCACAUCCAGACCACAUGCUGCUUAUACAUUGUACAAUAGGCAUUUCUGCACACACACUUCUGAAAAUAUGUCUCUUAGUGCUUUAUUGUUAGCAUGUGUCUUGUUGCUUAAGGCGAGUUUUAUCAGUACUGAUUUUGUUGUUUACAGACGUGUAGAAUAAAACAGGGUACUGAUAAAAUGUGACUGGAGGAGAGGAGAUCUUUGAUGCACCAGUUACACUGUUUACGCCAGCUUUCUGAUCGUGUUCCCUUGCCACCACUUCCCCAAAUUCAGUAGUUGCCUGAGGAUAACACCAGAUCCUAACAUCUAAGCAAUGUAUGGACUGCUUUGCUCUGCAUGUUCCUGCUCCACGUUGGUAGGGGUUCCCCAGCACCUCCUACUCCGCUGUGCCUGGUUUACAGUUGCACUGCAGUGCCUUUACAUAAUGGCUUCCCAUAUUCUUCUAUUUGGGAAAAACAAAUCCAUGAAUAAACCAGUUCAGGAAGUGCCAUCAGUGCUACAAAGCCCCGUGCAGACCCUCCUCUUGCAGGAGCUGAGCUGACCCCCAGCAGCUUCCCCAGUGCAUGAGUGGGAGAGGACCCAUGGAUGUGCAGUGGCCAUGAAUUAAGGCAGGUAGAUCCUCUGGGAGCCAUCUCAGAUCUUUCCCAUCGUACCCUGCUCCAUACCUGCAGUGAGACUGAAGUACCUGCAAACAGAUCACACCGAGCGCAGCUCCCAGUUAACGCUCCUGGGUGUCUGCAGAGGGGCUGGCACAGAGCCCAUUAUGCUGGAUUAUUGCCACCCAGGGAUUUCCCACAACAUCAGGAAAAUCCCCAGCAGCCCCAGACCCCUGGUUUCCCGUUUGCAGAAGCCCAAGGCCUACCCAUGGUGAUGAUAAUCUCUACUGCUGGCACCUCAAAGUGCCAGAGAGCUGACGGCAAAAGCUUCAUUCAUGAGGACUACUAAAAAGAAGCUGUGAGCAACCAGACGUAAGGACCCUUGUGCUUCUGCCUUCCACUACAGCCACAGUUCAUUGGGUGCCUCCUGGCUCCUGUCCCACCACGUCACUCCCAUCCCACCCUGUCCCCUCUGCUGCCCAGCAGAAGCUCUCCUGCUGAAAAGAGGCAGGCAAGAAGAGCUUGUUUUCAUCUACACCAGAAUACUCCUUUUUCGGCUAUAAUAUUCUCAAAACACCUGCUAACGUUCUGCAGUCAGACUGCCACAGUGUCGGUCAGCUGAGUGCUCACUCUGGGUUCAUCCACACAAUCAGUGCACAGUCCGUGCCAAACUGCCAGACAAAGGCAGUUCCUAAAGCGAGCGGUCCCUCGGCAGCUCUCAGUGGAAAGGCCCACCAGGUACUUUGCAUUUGUUUUCCAAUCCGCACCAAAGCUUGAGGCCGUGGAUCAGCCAGAACGAAGGCAGGAAGAAGGUGAACGAAGAGAACAGAGCAGAGCUCUUGGCAAGCUGUUGUGGAUUAAAAAGAAGGCAGGUAGGAACAGAGAUAGAGCAAGUGCCUUAGAGAGUUAUUCAGGAGAAACAAGGGCUUCAAGUGACGUUUGAGUAUGGGAAAGAAAUCAGUAUCUGUGGUUUUCAUUUGUGUUCAGAGUGCUAAAAGCAGAAGUGGUUGCUGGAGUCUGAACAGGAAUCCGAGGCUGCGCUUGCAGCUUCCUCACAAAUUGGAGGAGAAGCUAUUCGUUUGAUGUACAGGCUCAGUGCUACAAGAGCUCUUACUUGUAGAAUUUUGCUUUUUUUUUUUCUUUUUCGAAACAAAUUGCUAUGUGAGCAGUGGAGCUAAUAACACUCGGUUUCCCAUGGGUCUGUGACCCUUUCUCCCCACUCCUCCCAUAAACAACAAGCCCAGCUCUCCCCUCCCUAUGUGCCUUACGUUUCUUUGCUGAGCAGCGCUCUGAUCUGUAGGUGCCAUCUGACCAGCUAUCAUGUGUAUGGUCAGCCUUCCUGCCUGCACCAGCUAGUCAGCUGCUGGCUGCAUUUCUCUAAGUCCCUUGCCCAGCCGACCACAAAAUUUGGCAAGGAAGUCAGUGCAACUUCUACUUUUCUGUCCUAUAGGAAAACAGCUAUUUUUAACCUGGAUGUGGUCUGUGAUUUGUUUCACACGCAGCUCUGAAAUGGCACAGCUGAGGGCCAGGAACCUCAAGUGAACAGAAGCUGUUGCAAUGAGGCACGGUAUAAGCGAGCUGCCGACAAGCAGAAAUCCCUGACGCUGCUGCAAUUGCCUCCCGCCCUGGGAUAUCUCUUCUACCAUUCACCUCUGAGUGAAGCCGCUGGACUGUCAACACUUGUGGCAAGAUCAUGUUCACAGGACUACGAGCCGUGUUUCCCAGGUUGUUGGAGGAGAGCACAACAUGCUGCUUCUGGCAGCGGGAAGGGAAGUAACGUGCAGGAGGGGCUCAGAUUUCUUAACCUUUACUGUUAGUUUCUUGGCAGCCAUCAGCUCAUUAAACCAGCAGAGGAAAACCUUGCUUGAUUUUUCCCCCCUAUGCGUGGAUAAUGAUACCCAUUUUAAAUUACCCUCCUUAGGUAAAAGAGUGUGCCAAGAAAAAAAAACAACAACAACAACAACAACAAAAAAACUAGUGGAAGAACGGGAGGCAAAGAAUGCAGCAUUCAGUAGGGCUGCUUUGCCUUGCCUUGCUACCCCUCAUUCAUUAGACUCAACCUCACCUUUGGUUUCUCAGGUUUCAAAGGCAGCUUUUAUGAGCUCCCCAGUUUCCCCAGGCUGCUGUAGGACCAGCAGAAUCUUCCUCAUGCUUCUUACCUGUGUCUCAAUGUCCUCCUUAGAGUACAGCCCAGAGAUGCUAUUCUGGGGAUCCCAUGGUGUAUCUCGCAGGCAGCCCUGAAUGGGAUAGGUGAUCAUCCCCACCUCUUAUAGCACGUUCCUUCCUAGAGAGGAGAAGAUGAUGGAGAAUGUUUAUGCCACUGGGCAGUGUAGCGAUGCAUGUAUGUCAGAAGCCUAUUGCUUUGACUCGGUGCUAUUCUUCAUCCCGCUGGUACCACUUUGCUGUUUAUCUAUGUUUGUCUUCCCAGAGCCCAGCUGUGGCCACCAUGGCCUCAUGCAAGAUGUGGAAAUGCCCUGAGAUCUGGUACUGCCAGCAAAGUUGGGGGAUUUUUUUUUUCCAGAGCUUUCUG